rnacentral:tRNA from 1 species
GCGCCCGUAGCUCAGUUGGAUAGAGCAACGGAUUUCUAAUCCGUAGGUCGCAGGUUCGAAUCCUGCCGGGCGUA